GACAGAGGGUGCAAACGUUGCUCGGAAUUACUGGGCGUAAAGCGCGUGUAGGCGGUCUCGCGAGUCGGGUGUGAAAGCCCGGGGCUCAACCCCGGACGUGCAUUCGAUGCUACGAGGCUGGAGUACUGUAGAGGAGAGCGGAAUUCCCGGUGUAGAGGUGAAAUUCGUAGAUAUCGGGAGGAACACCAGUGGCGAAGGCGGCUCUCUGGACAGUGACUGACGCUGAGACGCGAAAGCGUGGGUAGCAAACAGG
rnacentral:rRNA from 1 species